rnacentral:rRNA from 1 species
CAAUACACACUUUUUAAAGGGCACGCCCUGCCCACUUGAAGAAUUUAACGGCCGCGGUACCCUAACCGUGCAAAGGUAGCAUAAUCAUUUGUCUAUUAAUUGUAGACCAGUAUGAAAGGCAAAAUGAGAGCCCAACUGUCUCUUAUAAUAGAUCAAUUAAACUGAUCUCCUAGUACAAAAGCUAGAAUAUCAACAUAAGACCAGAAGACCCUGUGAAGCUUUAACUAACCUAUUAAACCAAAUAAUAACUACUUUCGGUUGGGGCGACCUUGGAAUAAAAAAGAACUUCCAGUAUAUGACUUCCUCAUAAAACAGGCAAACAAGCCAAUACCAGACCCAGCACAGCUGAUAAUUGAAACAAGUUACUCCAGGGAUAACAGCGCUAUCUUCUUCAAGAGCCCAUAUCAAAAAGAAGGUUUACGACCUCGAUGUUGGAUCAGGACAUCCAAGUAAUGCAGCCGUUACUAAAGGUUCGUUUGUUCAACGAUUAACAGUCCUACGUGAUCUGAGUUCAGACCGGA